ACUGAUCAGAUGACGCUGCGCCGUGCUUAUACAUGCAAGUCGAAGCGAACAGACGAGGAGCUUGCUCCUUUGACGUUAGCGGCGGACGGGUGAGUAACACGUGGGUAACCUACCUAUAAGACUGGGAUAACUUCGGGAAACCGGAGCUAAUACCGGAUAAUAUUUCGAACCGCAUGGUUCGAUAGUGAAAGAUGGCUCUGCUAUCACUUAUAGAUGGACCUGCGCCGUAUUAGCUAGUUGGUAAGGUAACGGCUUACCAAGGCAACGAUACGUAGCCGACCUGAGAGGGUGAUCGGCCACACUGGAACUGAGACACGGUCCAGACUCCUACGGGAGGCAGCAGUAGGGAAUCUUCCGCAAUGGGGCGAAAAGCCUGACGGAGCAACGCCGCGUGAGUGAUGAAGGUCUUCGGAUCGUAAAAACUCUGUUAUUAGGGAAGAAACAAACGUGUAAGUAACUGUGCACGUCUUACGGUACCUAAUCAGAAAAGCCACGGCUAACUACGUGCCAGCAGCCGCGGUAAUACGUAGGUGGCAAGCGUUAUCCGGAAUUAUUGGGCGUAAAGCGCGCGUAGGCGGUUUUUUAAGUCUGAUGUGAAAGCCCACGGCUCAACCGUGGAGGGUCAUUGGAAACUGGAAAACUUGAGUGCAGAAGAGGAAAGUGGAAUUCCAUGUGUAGCGGUGAAAUGCGCAGAGAUAUGGAGGAACACCAGUGGCGAAGGCGACUUUCUGGUCUGUAACUGACGCUGAUGUGCGAAAGCGUGGGGAUCAAACAGGAUUAGAUACCCUGGUAGUCCACGCCGUAAACGAUGAGUGCUAAGUGUUAGGGGGUUUCCGCCCCUUAGUGCUGCAGCUAACGCAUAAGCACUCCGCUG
rnacentral:rRNA from 1 species